GGCUGCAAACACGCGCUAGCGCGCACUGGAUUGGAUUAGCUCAGUGACGCUUCAGCUCAUUCAGCUUUAUGAAUGGCAGGAGAUGCGACGGCAUUCUUCGCAUA
rnacentral:lncRNA from 1 species